rnacentral:rRNA from 1 species
UACGAAGGGGGCUAGCGUUGCUCGGAAUCACUGGGCGUAAAGGGUGCGUAGGCGGAUCUUUAAGUCAGGGGUGAAAUCCUGGAGCUCAACUCCAGAACUGCCUUUGAUACUGAGGAUCUCGAGUUCGGGAGAGGUGAGUGGAACUGCGAGUGUAGAGGUGAAAUUCGUAGAUAUUCGCAAGAACACCAGUGGCGAAGGCGGCUCACUGGCCCGAUACUGACGCUGAGACGCGAAAGCGUGGGGAGCGAACAGG